UUGAAAGCUCUGGGACUGAAGCCCAAACUUAUCCACACAAGAGGAUAUAUAUCAUGAGUCAUGGUAAUGCAUUUGUUCCACAAUGCCCUAUCAAUGUGCCUCUCACAUGAACUGGAGGGACCAGCUCUAGCGGGGCUAGAGGGGAGCUCAGUUUCCAUACUCAGUCAGUUUUUGGAAUGU
rnacentral:sRNA from 1 species